CCUACGGGAGGCAGCAGUGGGGAAUAUUGGGCAAUGGGCGCAAGCCUGACCCAGCAACGCCGCGUGAAGGAAGGAGGCUUUCGGGUUUUAAACUUCCUGUCAGAGGGAAGAGCAUAAGACGGUACCUCUUGAAUAAGCCACGGCUAACUACGUGCCAGCAGCCGCGGUAAUACGUAGGUGGCACGCGUUGUCCGGAUGUACUGGGUGUAAAGGGAGUGUAGCCGGGCUGACAAGUCAGAUGUGAAAUUCCGGGGCUCAACCCCGGACCUGCAUAUGAAACUGUUGGUCUUGAGUAUCGGAGAGGCAGGCGGAAUUCCUAGUGUAGCGGUGAAAUGCGUAGAUAUCAGGAGGAACACCAGUGGCGAAGGCGGCUUGCUGGACGACAACUGACGGUGAGGCGCGAAGGCGAGGGGAGCAAAAAGGAUUAGGUACCCCAGUAGUC
rnacentral:rRNA from 1 species